UCGGCGCGCUGCUCUGGGUUGCAGGAAAGCCAGUCUCUCCAAGCAUGGUUAGGGAGGGGGCUGGGUUUUGCUUUUUGUUUCUGGAAGCCCCUCUUCACCCUCCUUAGUCCCUGCGUGCAGCCCAGAGGAUCGUGCGGAAAGGCUACAGGGCCCCAGGGCGCACCCCGCCCCGCGCACUCGGGCCGGGGCGCCAAAAGGCGCCGCCUCGUGGGGUGGGGGGCUCCUUGCACCCAGGAGGAGGCGCGGUGAGUGCCCUGGCUGUUCCAGCACCGCUCCCUGCCCCGGACUGGGGUGGGGGAGCGCCGCAGUAUGCCUCGGGGGUCCCUGGGCCAGGAAGACCGCAGCUCCGAGAGCUGCCAGCAACUCAAGGAAGAGGUGUUCCCUGAGCCUCUGCCCCAGCUGCUUGACUUCUGGGGUGGAUCUCCCCUUGCCGCGCUCAAAACUCGUAGAAAAUAAAAAGAUGCCUUGUGAGGC